UACGGGGGGGGUAAGCGUUGUUCGGAAUUACUGGGCGUAAAGGGCUCGUAGGCGGCCAACUAAGUCGGACGUGAAAUCCCUCAGCUUAACUGGGGAACUGCGUCCGAUACUGGAUGGCUUGGAUUUGGGAGAGGGAUGCGGAAUUCCAGGUGUAGCGGUGAAAUGCGUAGAUAUCUGGAGGAACACCGAUGGCGAAGGCAGGUCUCUGGGCUGACACUGACGCUCAUGCA
rnacentral:rRNA from 1 species